rnacentral:lncRNA from 12 species
AAAAAAAUGGACUUUAUUCUCUUGGUGGUAUAUUCAGAGUUUAAAAAUCUCAGAGCUGCUCCUGUAUCUGCACAGAUAGAAACUGGAGAUGUUAAUUUUUUGUCAUUUGGCUUCUAGAUGUCCUUGGCGUGUGCACCCCUGUGGAAUCCAGUUCAUCUCCAAUCUGUCAGGAAGUAUCAGAGGUGGUUUUGACUCCUUAUGUCCUGGGCCUGUGCACAAAAUGUACCUUCUGUGGAGGAAAAUGAGAUCCCGAGUGAAGUCUACAAUGUCAUUGACUCUGAAGAAGGACUCAGAGACCCAUUGGUGUUUAAUGACCCUUACUGGCCUAUGCAAUGGGAACUGGUAUGAUCUUCAGAAAUAG